UUUCCAGGCUAUGAUGUUAAUAGGACUAUAGUUUAUACUACUGCAUUCACACUUUAUAUAUUUUAUAUAAAUAUAAUGCUUCAUUGAAUUAUAUGAAUAUCAACUAUAAAAAUAAUCACUCAUGUUGCAGGUAAUAUUUACAAUCAACUAAAAAGGUGUCAAACGAGGAUAAUCUAUGACUACAUAGCAUAUACCAUGACAAUAACUGACAUAUAAUGAAUUCGCACAAUCAUACAAAACACCAUAUAGGUCUCCAUGCGGCAUUACUAUAUAAGCCUGAAUGCACAAGAGAGCAAGUAUCCUUCUUCUCUUCCAUCGCCUCCCUCCCGUUGAAACGUUCUAUCAACAUAAAUAAAAGGACAACUUUAGUCUUUAUUUUUUUAUCUUCAAUCUUUAUAUUCAAUGAUUUUCAACAUACAAAUUUUAAUUAUUAUUAAAUUCAAUUAUAAGUUGCAAUAUAUUCUAGUAUAAUUAUAUGUUAAAUAUAUUGUAUUUUCAGUUAAUAUAUAUGAUUUUUUUUAAAAGUUGAAGCGCAAUCAUAUUAUAAUUAUAAACAAUAUAUUCGAAUAACUAUAACCGAAAUUAAUCAUUAUAAAGCACAGACAAACUAAUAACUAGAAUAAAAAUUAAGAACCCACAUGUAGUUUAUACAGAGUAAGAUUUGAACUUAAAAUUUUAAAGUUUUUAAGACUUUAUAUUUAUCAUUAAACUAAGGCCUCAUUGACUAUCAAUUUACUUUUUUAAACCCAUAAUUUGAUUACAAUUAAAAAAAUUUAUUGUGUAAAAUUACUUGAAACUCUUUAUAAAAUUUGAGUCAGUCAUUAGCGUAUCAACAAGGGACUUUAAUCAUUAACUUUUUAUGCUCUCGAUAAUACAAGAGUGUAUUGAACUUUUCAUAUAAAAAAUUUAAAAAUAAUUGUUGAAUUUUAUACUAUAUUAUAUUUGUAGUUGACGAAGGAUUGUCCAAGGAAGCAAACUUUAGAGUUUAAAUUCGUGACGUAGAGUAGAGAUCAUUAACUCGGAGUUUUUCAUUUUCAGUACAGCUACUGAAAGGAUCCCUAACCCUUUCCAUAAAAAGUAAGCUCAAAAACUCACCUGGAACACUACCCCCUCUCCUUCAAUCAUUG
rnacentral:lncRNA from 1 species